ACCAAAAAAUGUCAAGAUUUUUGG
rnacentral:siRNA from 1 species